GACCGCUUAGCUCAGUUGGUUAGAGCGCAUCGUUCACAUCGAUGAGGUCGUAGGUUCGAGUCCUACAGCGGUCA
rnacentral:tRNA from 1 species